UGAUAUUUGCUUAAAGUGUUGACGACAUUUGGAAACCAUGCUGAAAAGCUUGGCCUGACAGAAAAUCAGUGUUUCUACUGUGGCAGCGAUAAUAAGUCGAGCGCUGGAGAAAAUAUGUCUAUAUGCCGAUGUCUAACAAUGCCCGCUACUGCUGAUAUCUCAGUAUCGCUCUACCUGUACCUGUGUGUAUACCGUGCAGCUUAUUGAACUCAAUAUUUCAUUGUGCCCGUUCUGAUUUAUCUGUAUAGUGGGCACGAAGCAACACGUACAUGUUAUGUGUGAUACUUUCGAUUGAUAACGUAAUAGGUAACAGUAUAAGUCAGACAUACCCCAUUAUUGAAAGCACGCUCUCUAGUACCUUUCACUUGUUAGGGAAUGCUUUCGCGUGUAGCUUCUGUCAUAGAGAGAGAGAGUCUGCACGCGCGUUCUACUCAUAUGCUCCACCCUACCUGCCAAUCAUAAAAAGGUUGUCCGCAUCACUUGUGUUUUAACUGGUUACAUGCCAGCUUUACUCAAGCGUGUAAUUGAAAUCGAAGAUGCAAAAGAACAAGAAAAUUAAAAAAUCAUAUCAGCUAGUUUGGUAGGUUUUCAUUAAACUUCUUUAUGUAUGAGCUAUAUGUUAUGGCACACUUAAACUUUUUUGUUUUUAAAUAUUGAUUUACUGUGGAUAUGGAACAUUUAAGUUUUGACAUAUAGCUACGUAUAUUACCCAAUUAAUCUUUUACAGACACGACUGAGAUCGUAGGUACGUGUAUAUACAGUAUACAUUUGGGUGUUUCACAUAUGGUUUGGAUGAAGCAAAUUAAAUCCAAAAAAUAUCUUUAUUAUGUACUUCAUAAAAACAAAUAAGAUGUGUCGUAUUAAAUUCAGAUAGAAAAAAAACAUGCUGACUAGUGUUUAAAUAUAUUUUUUGUUUACAGAUUACCAAACACAUACACUGUAAAAGUAUUUUGCAUCCAAAGAAAAGUUGAAAAAAGCUUUGAAGAGGCCAGAAGCAAAUAUUCGUUUUUUUAAAAAGACCUCGAUCAGUAAGACAUACGGUUAUGAGCAGCUAGGUCAAAGGUCCUCAAUUAAUAUGUCAACAGACCUUAAUAGCAAGGUCCAAACUCACAAAUCACUAAUUGUAAUAUAAAGGUUUUAUUUAUUCUUGAUAACGUAUUGAGCAUGAAGCUCAUCUUACAUAUGGUCAGGAUACAACGCAUGAUAAAAUGUACAAUAUUUACAGCUUAAAAAAAUAUAUAUGUAUAAAAUACAGGAUAAGGGAGGAAAGCAUAAAUCAUUUCAAGUAAAAUUGCUUUGUAGAUCUCUUAAAUUCUAAAAAUAAAGUACACUUUCUAAUGUGACUUGGUAAAAGAUUCCACGUAAGGGGUCCCUGAUAUUUAAAAGAUUUUCUAAAAAUGUUUGUUUUAUGACAUGGCAAGUAAAACACAUUGGUAGACGAUGAUCUUGUAGUUCUACCCUUAACAUCAGACAUAUACGUAAAAUCAUUCAAAUUUUGUGGAGCUAAAGUAUGAAGUAUCUUGUACAUAAAAACUACUUGAUUGUAUAAAAUGCUUUUGUGAAUUUUUUGAACAUAUCACAGGCAGGUGUGGAAAAAUCACAUUUUAAAAUAAUUCUAUCUGCUCUCUUUUGCAGGCGUUCUAAUUUUAUGAUAUCAUUGUUUUAACUGUUAUCCCAAACAGUUGAGCUAUAAUCCAGAUGUGGGUUAACAAAGCAGUUAAAAAAGGUCAUACAAGAUGACUGGCUCAAGAAGGGUCUCAGCUUUUUCACCUGUAAAUUGAAUGUUCCAAAAGAGACAAUCAUCUAUGGACACUCCCAAAAGUUUUUCACAUUUUACAUUUUCAAUGUUUAUAUUGUUGAUAACAACGGACCAUUCUUCUGUUGUAACAAGCAUAACUUUCGUUUUUUUCUGUGUUUACACACAUUUUGUUUGACACUUAUUUUGCAUCAGCAUUGAGGUUGGUAUAUACAAUGUCAAAUGAUUUUCCUUGCGAUUGCGCUGCGGUGUCAUCAGUGUACAUAUACAAAAAACUUUGAUUUGUUAUCAGGGGCAGGUCAUUUAUAUAUAAAAUGAACAAAAGUGGCCCCAAUAUCGACCCUUGAGGGACACCGAAUGUAAGAGGGAGAGUAUCACUCAAAGUGUUCUUAAAGUUUAAAAUUUGAAAUCUCCCGCUCAAAUAACUUUGAAAAAAGAUCAUUGUUUUGGAUGAUCACCCAUACAAUUCCAAUUUAGACACUAAAAUAGAGUGGUUUACAAGGUCGAAUGCCUUUCGUAAAUCAAGAAAUAGAACACCUGUCAAAAUACCUUUGUCUAUAGCCUCAUACCAGGUGUUUGUGAUAUAGGUUAGCGCAGUCUGGUCAAUAGUCCUCAAUAUUUAGGUCAACAAUCCUCAAUAAGUAUGUCAACAUUACGCGAUAAGUAGGUCAACAAUCUGUAAUAAGUAGGUCGAUAGUCAUCAAUAACAAGUAACUAGGACAACAUCAUUCAAAUCUUAAUAUUUAUCAUUACAUCAGAUGUCCUCUAUAACUAAAUCAUAGUUCUAACUUAAUCCUUUAUCAUUACAUCAGAUGUCCUCCAUAACUAAAUCAUAGUCCUAACUUAAUCCUUUAUCAUUACAUCAGAUGUCCUCUAUAACUAAAUCAUAGUCCAAAACUAACUAAGUCAAUAGUUUUCAACAGCUAGGUUAGUAUUUCUCAAUAGAUGGUUAAUAAUCCUCAAUAGCUUGGUCGAUAGUCUUAAAUAUAUACAUGUAUAUAAAGAGUCCUCAAUAACUUUAUCGAUAGUUUCAACAUCUUCAUGUAGGUCAAUAGUCCCCAAUAACUUUAUCGAUAGUUUUCAAUAUCUACAUGUAGGUCAAUAGUCCCCAAUAACUUGGUCGAUAGUCUUCAACAUCUACAUGUAGGUCAAUAGUCCCCAAUAACUUGGUCGAUAGUUUCAACAUUUACAUGUUGGUCAAAAGUCCCCAAUAACUUGGUCGAUAGUCUUCAACAUCUACAUGUAGGUCAAUAGUCCUCAAUAACUUUAUCGAUGGUUUUCAACAACUACAGGUAGGUCAAUAGUCCCCAAUAACUUGGUCGAUAGUUUUCAACAUCUACAUGUAGGUCAAUAGUCCUCAAUAACUUUAUCGAUAAUUUUCAACAUCUACAUGCAGGUCAAUAGUCCUCAAUAACUUUAUCGAUAGUUUUCAACAUCUACAUGUAUGUCAAUAGUCCUCAAUAACUUGGUCGAUAGUCUUCAACAUCUACAUGUUGGUCAAUAGUCCUCAAUAACUUGGUCGAGAGUUUCAACAUCUACAUGUAGGUCAACAGUUCUCAAUAACUUGGUCGAUAGUCUUCAACAUCUACAUGUAGGUCAAUAGUCUUCAAUAACUUUAUCGAUAGUUUUCAACAUCUACAUGUAUGUCAAUAGUCCUCAAUAACUUGGUCGAUAGUUUCAACAUCUACAUGUUGGUGAAUAGUCCCCAAUAACUUUAUCGAUAGUCUUCAACAUCUACAUGUAGGUCAAUAGUCCCCUUUAAUUUGGUCGAUAGUCUUCAACAUCUACAUGUAGGUCAAUAGUCCCAAAUAACUUGGUCGAUAGUUUCAACAUCUACAUGUUGGUCAAUAGUCCCCAAUAACUUGGUCGAUAGUUUUCAACAUCUACAAGUAGGUCAAUAGUCCCCAAUAACUUGGUCGAUAGUUUUCAAUAUAUACAUGUAGGUCAAUAGUCCCCAAUAACUUGGUCGACAGUUUUCAACAUCUACAUGUUGGUCAAUAGUCCCCAAUAACUUGGUCGAUAGUCUUCAACAUCUACAUGUAGGUCAAUAGUCCUCAAUAACUUUAUCGAUAGUUUU